rnacentral:rRNA from 1 species
GACAGAGGUGCCGAGCGUUAGGCGGAAUCACUGGGCUUAAAGCGUGUGUAGGCGGACGCCUAAGUACCCGCGUGAAAUCCCCCGGCUCAACCGGGGAACGGCCGGGUAUACUGGGCGUCUUGAGAGCCUAGGGGCGAGCGGAACAAGCGGUGGAGCGGUGAAAUGCGUAGAUAUCGCUUGGAACGCCGACGGUAGAAAACAGCUCGCUGGGGGCCUUCUGACGCUGAGACACGAAAGCCAGGGGAGCGAACGGG